rnacentral:rRNA from 1 species
AUACAUGCAAGUCGUANGCACUGGCCCAACUGAUUGAUGGUGCUUGCACCUGAUUGACGAUGGAUCACCAGUGAGUGGCGGACGGGUGAGUAACACGUAGGUAACUCUGCCCCGGAGCGGGGGAUAACAUUUGGAAACAGAUGCUAAUACCGCAUAACAACAAAAGCCACAUGGCUUUUGUUUGAAAGAUGGCUUUGGCUAUCACUCNGGGAUGGACCUGCGGUGCAUUAGCUAGUUGGUAAGGUAACGGCUUACCAAGGCGAUGAUGCUUAGCCGAGUUGAGAGACUGAUCGGCCACAAUGGAACUGAGACACGGUCCAUACUCCUACGGGAGGCAGCAGUAGGGAAUCUUCCACAAUGGGCGCAGCCUGAUGGAGCACACCGCGUGAGUGAAGAAGGGUUUCGGCUCGUAAAGCUCUGUUGUUGGAGA